rnacentral:rRNA from 1 species
UACGGAGGGGGCAAGCGUUGUCCGGAUUUAUUGGGCGUAAAGAGCUUGUAGGCGGUUUGUCGCGUCUGCUGUGAAAUUUCGGGGCUCAACCCCGAACUUGCAGUGGGUACGGGCAGACUAGAGUGUGGUAGGGGAGACUGGAAUUCCUGGUGUAGCGGUGAAAUGCGCAGAUAUCGGGAGGAACACCCGUAGCGAAGGCGGCACUCUGGGCCGGUACUGACGCUGAGGAGCGAAAGCGUGGGGAGCAAACAGG